CCUCGUGUGACUGAUGAUAGCACAGCUGCUGAGACUGUGAUUGCUAGUCUCAAAGUAAACGCUCUGACACGCUGCAC
rnacentral:snoRNA from 1 species